GGAGGAGGAGGAGCGGGAGGAGGAGCAGCAGAGGCGUGAGGAGCAGAGGAGGCAGCCGGUGAGGGAGGGGCGCAGCGACGGGGACCGGCUUAAAGAGAUAGAGCGGAGGUGCGACCUCUAGGGGUGGCACCGCCAGGAGUGAGGCUCUCUCUGUGUGAUCCUGCCCACGGCGCCAACUGUAGCAGUGAGCUCUACCUCAAGACCCAGCAAUAACACUCCUGGGCAUGUACCUAAAAGAUGCUCCACCAUACAACAACGACAUUUGCUCAACCAUGUUCAUCAAGCUUUAUUCGUAAUAGCCAGAAACUGAAAACAACCCCGAUGUCCCUCAGCUGAAGAAUGGAUAAAGAAAAUAUGGUAUAUUUUCACAAUGGAAUACUACUAUUCAGCUAUUAAAAACAAGGAAAUCAUGAAGUUUGCAGGCAAAUGGAUGGAACUAGAAAGUAUCAUCCUGAGUGAGGUGAUCCAGGCCCAGAAAGACACACAUGGUAUGUACUCACUUAUAAGUGGAUAUUAGCCAUACAGUACAGGAUAGACAUACUAAAAUUCACAGAAGCUAAAUAACAAGGAGGGCCUGAGAGGAUGUCUGAAUCUCACUCAGAAGGAGAAAUAGAAUAAACAACAGAAGUGGGUGAAGAGAGGAAACAGGGUAGGAGAGGGGUGUGGAGGGAAAUGAGGGUGAGGAUUAGAUGUGGGAGAGCAUGGGUGGGAGGUCAGAGGGCUUAGACAGAGAAGGAAACUGAGGGCAGAGCCACUGGUGAGACAAGCAGGAGACCUACAACAGGGAGGGCUACAGGGAAGAUAUGGGGGUGACUCUAGCUAAGACUCCUGGUUGGGAGGUGAGAGGUCAUAGAGACUGAAGAGGCCAUCUUCUAGCCAGACAGGACUUCUAGUGGAGGGAGGAGAACACCAAACCACCCACAAAAACUUUGUCCCAAAAUUUACUCUGCCUUCAAGAUGUGCAGGGAUAAAGUUAGAGCAGAGAUUGAAAGAAUGUCUAACCUGGCCCAACCUGAGACCUACCCAACGGGAGAGAGCCAACCUCUGACACUAUUAAUGAUGCCCUACUAUGCUUCCGGACUGAAGCCUAGUAUAGUUGUCUCCUGAGAGGAUCCACUCAGCAGCAGAUUGGAACAGCCAAAUACUAGGCGGAGCUUGGGGAGUUUUGUGGAAAAGUGUUGGGGUGGAUAGAAGGAACCAGAGAGGAUGAGAACUCCACAAGAAGACCAACAGAGUCAACUAUCCAGGGCCCAGAAGGGCAUAUGGAGACUGAAGCAUCAAUUAAGGACCAUGCAUGGACUGGAGCUAGGUUCUCUACAAAUGCCAAUGGACAGCUCAGUCCUCAUGUGCGUCCGUUAGUAAGGGGAGCAGAAGCUGUCUCUGACAUGGAUUCUGUUGCCUGCUUUCCGAUUAUGAUCCUGUGGAGGGGCUGCCUUGCCCAGCCUCAGUGGAAGAGGAUGUUCUCAGUCCUGAUGUGACUUUAUGUGCUGAGGUGGGUUAGUGGGAGGGCUCUCCUUUUCUGAGUAGGGGAGGGAAAUGAGGGAAGAGGGAGAGAGGAUGGGACUGGGUGAAGAAGAGGGAGGUGGCUAUGAUGGGGAUGUGAAGUGACUAAAAAUUUUAAAAUAUUUUAAAUAAGUAAAUAAAUAAUGGUUAAUGGCUAUAAAUAUGUAAUUUAGGUGUUAUUUAUAUGUAAAUUGGACAUUUCUUUCCAUUAAAUUCUGCUAAUUUUUUAUUUUUAUAAUAUCUAAAGUACUUACAUAAAAUGACAAAAAUAAAUUACUUUAAUGUCAGAUUUAAAAUAUAUUUUUUUUUCUGGAAAAAUAAUGUAUUCUAGUUUCAUCCUAUUCUGCUCUUACCCAGGCCUUAAGAUAAGGCAUUCUUUAAUAGGUCCCUGAUUUGUUCUGAUGUAGAAUAAUGUUCGUU